rnacentral:lncRNA from 1 species
CCCAGAUGCAGAGGAGCUCAGAACUGUAGUGCCUGGCUGGACACCCACUUCCCAGCAGCAACGCUCUCCACUUGGAACAGAGGCCGUCAGCUCUGGUGAUCAGGCUCCCUCGUCUGCCACAGCUAGAACACAGCAGAGUGUUGAUUUAAAGAACCAUGCCGACUUCAGGAGAAAGAAGAGCCUGAAGUUACAAAUGUUUGCAGACCUACCAAGUAUAAUGGAACCGCAUGUUGUGACAAAUAUGACUCAUCCAGGAGUAGAAAUCCCUGUCUCUUCUAGACUCCCGCUCAGAGGAGUUGACUGACGGAAUCAAGUUUUCCUUUGGAAGAGGGAAGAAUGACCCCGUGUGGCAAACAAGACGUAUACCAGGAAACGUUGAGAGAUGUGUCAGAGUGCAGUGGAAGCAAACUGGAGAAACGCUGCAUGACUCCUUCACUCCUGUAGAACUAGAAUGUGGUUUUGUGCAGAAGGGCUGCCCAUGCUCAUACAGAGCUUUGGAGGCCUUGGUAAAAUGAAAUGGGAAGCCA